rnacentral:rRNA from 1 species
AUUGAACGCUGGCGGCAGGCCUAACACAUGCAAGUCGAGCGAGAGGAGGACGGGUGAGUAAUGUAUGGGGACUGCCCGAUCGAGGGGGAUAACUACUGGAAACGGUAGCUAAUACCGCAUACUAUCGGAUAACCCAUAUGGGAUUAGCUCGUAGGUGAGGUAAUGGCUCACCUAGGCGACGAUCCCUAGCGGGUCUGAGAGGAUGAUAAGCCAAACUUGGACUGAGAUAAGGCCCAGAAUCCGACGAAGGCAGCAGUGGGUAAUAUGGCACAAUGGGCGCAAGCCUGAUGCAUCAAUGCCGCGUGUAUGAAGAAGGCCCUAGGGUUGUAAAGUACUUUCAGUCGGGAGGCGUUACCGACAGAAGAAGCACCGGCUAACUCCGUGCCAGCAGCCGCGGUAAUAC